rnacentral:rRNA from 1 species
CAGCCGCCACGGUAAUACGUAGGGUGCGAGCGUUAAUCGGAAUUACUGGGCGUAAAGCGUGCGCAGGCGGUUCGUUAAGACAGAUGUGAAAUCCCCGGGCUUAACCUGGGAACUGCAUUUGUGACUGGCGAGCUAGAGUAUGGCAGAGGGGGGUAGAAUUCCACGUGUAGCAGUGAAAUGCGUAGAGAUGUGGAGGAAUACCGAUGGCGAAGGCAGCCCCCUGGGCCGAUACUGACGCUCAUGCACGAAAGCGUGGGGAGCAAACAGGAUUAGAUACCCCGGUAGUCCCUGUCUCUUAUAC